CAGUCGCCGCGGGAAUACGUAGGGUGCGAGCGUUAAUCGGAAUUACUGGGCGUAAAGCGUGCGCAGGCGGUUUUGUAAGACAGGCGUGAAAUCCCCGGGCUCAACCUGGGAAUGGCGCUUGUGACUGCAAAGCUAGAGUGCGGCAGAGGGGGAUGGAAUUCCGCGUGUAGCAGUGAAAUGCGUAGAUAUGCGGAGGAAUACCGAUGGCGAAGGCAGCCCCCCGGGAUAACACUGACGCUCAUGCACGAAAGCGUGGGGAGCAAACAGGAUUAGAUACCCGCGUAGUCCCUGUCUCUUAUAC
rnacentral:rRNA from 1 species